AACGAACGCUGGCGGCAGGCCUAACACAUGCAAGUCGAGCGGAGCCUUCGGGCUUAGCGGCGGACGGGUGAGUAACGCGUGGGAACGUGCCCUUUGGUACGGAAUAGCCCCGGGAAACUGGGAGUAAUACCGUAUGUGGUCGAGAGACGAAAGAUUUAUCGCCAAAGGAUCGGCCCGCGUUGGAUUAGGUAGUUGGUGGGGUAAUGGCCUACCAAGCCGACGAUCCCUAGCUGGUUUGAGAGGAUGAUCAGCCACACUGGGACUGAGACACGGCCCAGACUCCUACGGGAGGCAGCAGUGGGGAAUCUUAGACAAUGGGGGAAACCCUGAUCUAGCCAUGCCGCGUGAUCGAUGAAGGCCUUAGGGUUGUAAAGAUCUUUCAGUGGGGAAGAUAAUGACUGUACCCACAGAAGAAGCCCCGGCUAACUCCGUGCCAGCAGCCGCAGUAACAC
rnacentral:rRNA from 1 species